rnacentral:misc_RNA from 1 species
AACAAGGCGUACCUGCGGACCUGCGGAGGGAUCAUUACUGAGUCACGUGCUCGAACAACCCUUCUGUGGACCUGAAAUAAAACCGUUGCCUCGGCGGGCGGUCCCCCCCAAACCAACCCCACGUGGUGGGUUAGGGGAGACCAGACAGUCCGGUACGCUUAAGGCGUCCGGCGCCAGCCGCUGGCCCCAAACAAUUAAACUCUAGUAAUCUUUACCUUCUGAGUUUCAAUAUUUAAAAAU